GGCGCUAUAGUGUAGUGGUUAUCACUCGGGAUUUUGAAGACUAAAUUCCCGUAACCCAGGUUCGAGCCCUGGUAGUGCCU